rnacentral:rRNA from 1 species
CGAAAGCCUGACGGAGCAACGCCGCGUGAGGGAUGAAGGCCUCUGGGCUGUAAACCUCUUUUAUCAAGGAAGAAGAUCUGACGGUACUUGAUGAAUAAGCCACGGCUAAUUCCGUGCCAGCAGCCGCGGUAAUACGGGAGUGGCAAGCGUUAUCCGGAAUUAUUGGGCGUAAGGCGUCCGCAGGCGGCCCUUCAAGUCUGCUGUUAAAAAGUGGAGCUUAACUCCAUCAUGGCAGUGGAAACUGUUGGGCUUGAGUGUGGUAGGGGCAGAGGGAAUUCCCGGUGUAGCGGUGAAAUGCGUAGAUAUCGGGAAGAACACCAGUGGCGAAGGCGCUCUGCUGGGCCAUCACUGACGCUCAUGGACGAAAGCCAGGGGAGCG